rnacentral:rRNA from 1 species
UGCGCAGGCGGUUAUGCAAGACAGAGGUGAAAUCCCCGGGCUCAACCUGGGAACUGCCUUUGUGACUGCAUAGCUAGAGUGCGGCAGAGGGGGAUGGAAUUCCGCGUGUAGCAGUGAAAUGCGUAGAUAUGCGGAGGAACACCGAUGGCGAAGGCAGUCCCCUGGGCCUGUACUGACGCUCAUGCACGAAAGCGUGGGGAGCAAACA